CCGGAGUCAUUGUGGCUCCGGCCGGUUGCGCCUGCCCUCGGGCCCUCAGGGAGGCGGGGGUUCGAGAGAGCGAGUUCGAGGCCAACCUGGUUCACAUUGGUUGAAAAUAAAAAUUUUUUU
rnacentral:ncRNA from 1 species